UGGGGAAUAUUGCACAAUGGGGGGAAACCCUGAUGCAGCGACGCCGCGUGAACGAAGAAGUAUUUCGGUAUGUAAAGUUCUAUCAGCAGGGAAGAUAAUGACGGUACCCUUGGAGGAAGCCCCGGCUAACUACGUGCCAGCAGCCGCGGUAAUACGUAGGGGGCAAGCGUUGUCCGGAAUUAUUGGGCGUAAAGAGUGCGUAGGUGGUUACCUAAGCAGGGGGUGAAAGGCAUUGGCUUAAACCAAUGUUAGCCCCCUGAACUGGGCUACUUGAGUGCAGGAGAGGAAAGCGGAAUUCCUAGUGUAGCGGUGAAAUGCGUAGAUAUUAGGAGGAACACCAGUGGCGAAGGCGGCUUUCUGGACUGUUACUGACACUGAGGCACGAAAGUGUGGGGAGCAAACAGGAUUAGAUACCCUGGUAGU
rnacentral:rRNA from 1 species